rnacentral:misc_RNA from 1 species
UGAAUAUAAAAAUGGGUAUUUGGACGUUUCUAACCUAUAUGUUAACUGAGAGAUGUACCACACGUAUUUAACAUCGCAAACAAAAGGCAGGGCUGCCCUCCUUCACAAAAAUGUAGAGAACUCCUCACUAGGUUGUGAUUCCUAUUAACAAUAAAUGCACACUAUCAGUAUCAACGUGGAGUGCAUAAGUGAGUGACCCUAGCAUCAUAAACACUUGGUCAUCCUCUCGUUUGUUCCUUGAACUUUGGAAGGAUAGUAUCUCCCGUCAUUUGACACCACUUAUCUUUGGUUGGAUGAAUUUGUGAUCCUAUAUGGCCAAUCUGCCUAUGAGUUACCUGGCGAAGACUCACUAGGAACAUGACGAACAAACUGUCCUUUAACUCUGGGACGCUGUUCAGCAAGUUUUUUCCUGCUUUCAUAUCGUACCUUCUUUUCGAAGCAUCUGUCUUUCCGCUUCAUGCGAAAUUUUGUAAGAGCUGCUUCUCUUUGAGAUCGCUGAGAGUUCCCAUCAGUAGUGUGAAGGCUUUCUUCUUUCCAAUACUCUGCCGGUGUUUUGCCUGGUGGAAGUGAGAUGUUUCCGUUGCUUCCAUAACUCAAAUGAACGUGGUUUAGAUCACCAUUGCAGCAAAUGCUAUUUAUAGUUUGAUCAGUUGCAGAGGGAAAACGUUCGCAAUCAGUUGUAGGUUCAGACAUGUGCCCUCUCUUACCCUCAUUGUAAGCGGACGAAUCACUGUUGUUUUGAUCACUCUGUGAGUGAAAUUUUUGAGAGCUCCUACUUUCACAAUUUAGCGCAAGGAAUGGAUUCGCCUGAUAGGAAGAUUCCCCAGGGGUAGCUGAACCUGGACUCUGCAAUGGCGAAAUGCCAGAUGGCAUGCGAAGAAUUGGAGCAAUCAUGGAGCAGUAA